rnacentral:rRNA from 1 species
AUGUUUGAUUACAGGACUAAGUUGGUAAAUAUGCUCGCAGCUGUUUUUUUGGGCACUGGACUGGAAGUUAUUACAGUAAUUGCUUUGCUGGUAUUAAAAUGCAAGGAAUCACAUAAAUGUGGGGAAGAAAACCUAGUGAAGUGGGAUAGUAGGUUAGGUUGGUACAGAAAAAAAAAGUGGAGGCAGCCUAACAGAGCUCAGCAGCGUGUGAUCAUUGUAAAGUACAGCAAGUGUUUUAUGGUUUGUGUUGCCUUUGUUAAUAGUGUCAUCCAUGCUUAUCGUAUAGUAUAUGAUUAUAGCUUGCUAAUGAAUGAUUAA